rnacentral:lncRNA from 1 species
GUGCCUGUGGCUGCGACCCAAGGAGAGGCGGUAGAAAGUGCCAUACGGCAGUGGAAGAAGUCGCCGAGGAAGUGCCGCAGUAGUCGUAGGGAAGAAAGCGACCGCAGUAACGAGAUUGAUGUUGCCAGAGUUCAUUGCUUCAGAUUGAUGUUGCCGGAGGUGCGUCGAAGGGAUCGUUUGGCUUGCCCAAAUGCGAGCGGAGGCUUUUUGAUGAGAUCGG